rnacentral:lncRNA from 1 species
GGAAACUGAACUGGAACUCUACUGACAAUGCAGCUGGGAGUUCAAACUUAAUAACCUUCCAGAGUUGGUAUCAAAUUCAGACGCUGACGCUCCUUGGAGAGGUUCUUUGCUGCAAGAGGAUGGAAAGGAUCACUGUGAUUUUGUUUUUCUCCUGCUGCUCUGUCUGGAAGCCAUGUGAGGAGGACAUCUGAGCAGCCCUGUGGAGAGGCCCCCAGCCAACAGCCAGCAUGAACUUGCUGGGCAUGUGAGUGCACCACCUUGAAAGUAGAGCCUCAACCCCUGGUCAAGCCAUCAGGGAGAGCUCAAGCUGGCCUGUUGGAAGAUGACAGGUCAUAUGCAACAGACGUGAAGUGUCCCAGCUGAUCCCCUUCCAGAAC